rnacentral:tRNA from 1 species
GUGGGUAUAGCUCAGUGGUAGGGUCUGUGCUUCACACGCACGAGGUCCUGGGUUCAAUCCCCAGUGCCUCUA